GUGGAUUAGAUACCCUGGUAGUCCACGCCCUAAACGAUGUCUACUAGUUGUUGGGCUUUUCGGAGCUUAGUAACGCAGCUAACGCGUGAAGUAGACCGCCUGGGGAGUACGGUCGCAAGACUAAAACUCAAAGGAAUUGACGGGGGCCCGCACAAGCGGUGGAUGAUGUGGAUUAAUUCGAUGCAACGCGAAAAACCUUACCUGGUCUUGACAUGUACGGAAGUCCGUAGAGAUAUGGAUGUGCCUUCGGGAACCGUAACACAGGUGCUGCACGGUCGUCGACAACU
rnacentral:rRNA from 1 species